ensembl:snoRNA LOC120097246 small nucleolar RNA SNORA17
CCUGCUCCUAGAGGCAUCACAGGUAUGGCUGCUGUGUGUGUCAGUGGGUGGCAGGGAAGAAAGAGGCUAUGUCUACACUCUGUAUUCUGACGUUUGACCAUCUGAGUGAUCAGUAGUCUAACAUU